GACGAACGCUGGCGGCGUGCUUAACACAUGCAAGUCGAGCGGAAAGGCGCGGCUUUUGUGGGGUGCUCGAUUGGCGAACGGGUGAGUAACACGUGAGUAACAUGCCCUUGACUGUCGGAUAACUUCAGGAAACAGGGGCUAAUACCGGAUAGGAGAUCCUGAUCCAUAGCGUGGGUUGGAAAGUUUCGGCUGUUGUGGCUGGUCUAGCGGCUUAUGCGCUUGUUGGUGGAGUAGUGGAGUGCCAAGUUUUUGAAGGGUAGGCGGCCUGAGAGGGUGACCGGCCACAUUGGGACUGAGAUACGGACCAGAAGCGUAUGGGCGGCAGUAGGCGGGAACAUUGCACAACGAGCGGACGCGUGAGGUAGAGACGCCGCGUUCGGGAUGACGGCCUUCUGGUUGUAAACAGCUUUCGACUGUGACGAAGCGGGAGUGACGGUAAUGGGUAAAGAAGCACCGGCUAACUACGUG
rnacentral:rRNA from 1 species